UGAAAACCAUUGAUUUUUAUUUGUGUCUUU
rnacentral:piRNA from 1 species